CGUACAUAUCACGGAAUCAAUGCAUUCCUCUUUAAAAUAAUAAUUUAAAAAUCGAAAUACAACUGGCUCCUCCGGUUUUGGAAACAGACUGUGGACCCACAUUGCUCUCCAGUCAACUUACACCUUCCAUAUCCUGUACACCUUGAAUAGUGAGAUAAUGCUUCUCAUAACUUAAUAUAUCUUGAGAAUAGUCUUACUUUCCAAUUACUAAAAAAAAAAGAAGGGGGAAGGUGAUCUAAAGACACUGUUUUGUGCUACAGAUAGUUCCUUAACGAUACAACAUACCUUUCCACAUGGAAAGGCGGAAGGGCCCAUCUUGGGCUAAAAUCAAAUGCUCACCGUCUGGCAAACAGGAAGGUGUAGAAGAGGAAACAGACUGAUGUAGCCAGCUCCAUGCUUCCUCUCACCCAGAAAUGGAGCAGUCUUCUUCAAUGUGGUGAAAGCUACGUAGUUUACGUGUGAAAGGGCUUUAACGAUAAAAAGUCGGCGCAUGGUCCAUUUUGAUCAAAGUGGUGGUGCCAUUUUUCUAAGCCACCGUGGUAGUAUAUAGUAGGUAAUCAAUCACUGAAUACACUCCUUGAAAAAAUUCACUUAUUUUGUUCACCUACCACUGGUUUCCCUAACCCACUGGUUCUCAAAGUGUGGUCCCUGGACCAGGAGCAUCAGGAAUGCAAAUACUUGGGCCUCACCCCAUACCUACUGAGUAGAAACUGGGUGAGGCCCAGCGCUGUGUGUUUUAUCAACCUCCCCCUCCCACCAGCAGGAAACUAGGGUGUGCGUGCUCAACACGGGGGAGAACCACUGACCUGACCUGUUUUUACCAAAGCCCUGUGGUCUGCAGUCAGCGAUUUUAAAAACAGAUCAAGUUUAACCAAGAAAAGCUUGAUUUUAAUAAUUACACGCAUAGAUCUAUUAGCAGAAAUUAAAGAAAAAAUAAUCUAUUUACACUUUCCUCUGUAUUGCAUCCCAUGCAUACUUAAACUUUCUUUUUCUUUUGAAGAAACAUGUAUAUCUUGGAGUAAACUACAGACAAACAACGUGAUGGAACAUACUAUACUGAAAAGAUUAGUGAACUGGUUCAUCUCUCUCCCAAGUGGAAAUUGAGAAGAAGGAUUUCUAGCCCUGGGACCACAGAACAGGAAGCAACAGCUGUUGCUGGGGCCUUCGGUUUGAAAACAGCUACUGAGACCGACACACUUGCUCUGUGCGCUUUCUAGCAGGGGAUCCUUGAUUUCCUCCAGUGAUGAAGGACCUCACUGGAAAAUAAGCGUCCGUUCCCAAAAAUGGACCCUUAGGUCAAGCGGCACAGCCAUCCUACAGCCUAAGCUCUAGGUGACGAGAGCCUGCAGACGUGGCUGGCGCUUCUCAGGAAGACAGGUGAUGAACCAUCUGACCCGGCGCGCUCUGCUGUCAGGGGCUGCCCACGGCUUUUCUUGACUUCUUAGGGCGGCCCAGCUUGCUUAAUAAUUUCUAGCACCCUCAUGGCGAAAAGUGUUUGUGCAACAGCUGUCAGCUGCUGUUCUCCAUGCUCCCGGCACACGGCACGAAGCCCAGGGCCUCUAUCGGUGCCACGCUUGGCUCCGAGUUGCCUCUGCCGUACCCCUGCCGGGCCAGGCGGCCAGGGCGUCCACCAGCCUGACCGGCCGCUGUGACGAGCAAGGCCAAGGCGGAAGAAGGUACCUGCUAAAGGCGCCGGUCACCCCAGGUGUGGCGGAAGGGCACUGGCGGAUCUGGAGGAAGGCAGAAGAAGGUGUGGACGUACCAGGUUCUGAAAGGGGCUGGCAGGGGCACAGGCUGAGGCAGGAGGCCCUACAGGACAAAAGGCCCUUCCGGGAGCCAAGGAGGACCCGCCGGUGGUGGGUGCUAGCGGAGGCGCCUACAUCUAGCUCUCCGCGGGAAGACUCAGCCAGCGCUUGGCUGAGCAGCAGCAGAAAGGCCAGCAGGGGAGUGGACAGCCAUCCCGGGAAGGGGGCCGGCUGCAGGGACCUCCUGGUGGAGGCUGCAGGGCGGGGGCCCAGGAGGCGGCUACCAUAAGCGGGGCACGCGGCAUGGCUGGUUUGGGUCCGCGAGCUCACCUAUGGCCCAUCCAGGGCUGAAACCGAGGUCUGGGUAUGAAAAUCCCAGCAGCUGCGAACUUUCACUUGGCCUGGCACACACUCCUACAGCUCACGGAUGCAGCGCACUCUGACUUCAGCCGCGGUUCUGCCAGGUGUGGGACCCUGACUGGCGGCACGGGCCUCACCUGGGAGCUGGGGGGAAAUGCAUUCUCGGACCCGCUCCAGACCCACUGAACCACAGAGCCUGGGGCGCCAGCAGUGUGUGUUUGCACAAACUCUCCACAACAGCCGGAUGCCUGCUCGAGGAAGCAUGGGACCGACGUUUUGUUAGUAUUCCUGGCAAUCAGAUGACACACAGUGCCUCCUAUCAUCACUGUGGCUACUAAAGUAAUGAGUAAUAGCCAACAAUCAGUCACCGGGCGCCUCCCAUGGGAUCUGUGUGCCCCUGAGAUCCAUGACAAACCUCCUGAUGUGUACAGGAUUACGCCAUCCCCAAUUUUUGGACGGGCAGACUGAUGCUUGGGGUACAUGGUGCAGGACCAAACAGGAGGCAGAGAGCAGUCGGCCUACCCUCUUCGGACGUGCUGACUCAUGCUCUCAGUCGCUACGCAAACCCGUGUCUCCUAGGAGGAGCUCGUGUCUGCCAACACCUGGCUCAGAAAUUUUCAUCCCCAUAACCCUGUACACCCUCACUUUGCAAACCUAACCUCCAGGUUUUGGAUGUGUCCCCGUUUCCCGCCUUCCUGUUGCAAAAGACGAAUCUAGAAGCUUAUGGCAGCACCACUUCUGUGGGGCACUGGCUGACCGUGAAGACACCUUAUUCAGCUGAGGGGAUUCAGUGAAAUGGUUACCAGUCCUGCCCUGAGCGAGCUGUCAGCUGAGGACUUGUCAAAGGUCUAUCCAUGUUGUUGCAAAUGGCAAAAUUUCAAACUAAUAUAACACAGAAACUUGGGACUUCCCUGGUGGCACAGUGGUUAAGAAUCCACCUGCCAAUGUAGGGGACACGGGUUCGAGCCCUGGUCCAAGAAGA